GCGGGUGUGGUGUACGGAACACAGCUACCUUGAUUGCUCGCGGAAUCACAGUAGACAAUUGAGCAGCAGACCCGGGUUCGACCCCCGGCGCCCACG